ACUCCUACGGGAGGCAGCAGUGGGGAAUAUUGCACAAUGGGGGAAACCCUGAUGCAGCCAUGCCGCGUGUGUGAAGAAGGCCUUCGGGUUGUAAAGCACUUUCAGUCGUGAGGAAGGUAGUGUAGUUAAUAGCUGCAUUAUUUGACGUUAGCGACAGAAGAAGCACCGGCUAACUCCGUGCCAGCAGCCGCGGUAAAUACGGAGGGUGCGAGCGUUAAUCGGAAUUACUGGGCGUAAAGCGCAUGCAGGUGGUUUGUUAAGUCAGAUGUGAAAGCCCGGGGCUCAAACCUCGGAAUAGCAUUUGAAACUGGCAGACUAGAGUAACUGUAGAGGGGGGUAGAAUUUCAAGGUGUAAGCGGUGAAAAUGCGUAGAGAAUACUAGAAGGAAUACCGGUGGCGAAAGGCGGCCCCCCUGGACAGAUACUGACACUC
rnacentral:rRNA from 1 species